rnacentral:rRNA from 1 species
UGGGGAAUCUUGCACAAUGGGGGAAACCCUGAUGCAGCCAUGCCGCGUGGAGGAAGACACCCCUAUGGGGCGUAAACUCCUUUUCUGCGCGAAGAAACCCCUGUUGUUCAGGGCGUGACGGUACCGCAGGAAUAAGGACCGGCUAACUCCGUGCCAGCAGCCGCGGUAAUACGGAGGGCGCUAGCGUUGUUCGGAAUCACUGGGCGUAAAGGGCGCGUAGGCGGACCACCAAGUCAGGGGUGAAAGCCCUGGGCUCAACCUAGGAAGUGCCCUUGAAACUGAUGGUCUUGAGUCCGGGAGAGGAGAGCGGAAUUCCCAGUGUAGAGGUGAAAUUCGUAGAUAUUGGGAAGAACACCGGUGGCGAAGGCGGCUCUCUGGACCGGCACUGACGCUGAGGCGCGAAAGCGUGGGGAGCAAACA